CGACGUGGGAAGGUCACAGAAAUGUUGAAAGACAUCAGAUUGGGCAUACGCUUCACCCGUGCAACUUCGUCAUGUGCUCCACGGCAGCACAAGCCUUUACGGCUGUGCCACUAUGUGUGGAAACGUCGUAGCGGAUGAAUGUGAAUUAUGGAUCUCCAAGUGGCGUCCCCCGCGUCAUUUUCAAGAUUUUACCCGUUUUGAAGGCAAUAGGGCUGUUGAUAGGGAGAAUGCUAGGCUACUGCAGACUGCAACCAUAGGCGCUGUGUCUAAAGGUUAAGCUCACAUGACGCGGCAGGGAAGGGAGUCCGUGGCGAAAAGUGAAUAUAGCCGAAGUUGGAUAGCGUUAAUUUUUGCGCACGAAAGGCAAGCUGGACACAUCGCAAAUCUCCAGUUGUACGAAACACAGUGCAGCAUGGUCGUCGGUUAUGCCAGUGCUUCAACAUAUGUUUCAGCGUCGCACUUCGGACAUUGCGGGCAUAUACCUUUAAGUUUUUCCCCUUGUGGACCGAUGCUGUGUGUGUUCAUGGACAUCAUGUUUUCAAAGACAUGUAAGUUCUCAAUAAUAAUGCGAAAAAAAAUGCUGGUCAUGUUACG